UGGGGAAUAUUGCACAAUGGGCGCAAGCCUGAUGCAGCAACGCCGCGUGAACGAUGAAGGUCUUCGGAUCGUAAAGUUCUGUUGCAGGGGAAGAUAAUGACGGUACCCUGUGAGGAAGCCCCGGCUAACUACGUGCCAGCAGCCGCGGUAAUACGUAGGGGGCUAGCGUUAUCCGGAUUUACUGGGCGUAAAGGGUGCGUAGGUGGUCUUUCAAGUCGGUGGUUAAAGGCUACGGCUCAACCGUAGUUAGCCUCCGAAACUGGAAGACUUGAGUGCAGGAGAGGAAAGUGGAAUUCCCAGUGUAGCGGUGAAAUGCGUAGAUAUUGGGAGGAACACCAGUAGCGAAGGCGGCUUUCUGGACUGCAACUGACACUGAGGCACGAAAGCGUGGGUAGCAAACCGG
rnacentral:rRNA from 1 species